UCAAUUCCUUCCAGGUUCAACCAGUGCCGUAUCCAUAUCAUCCCGAGGUCGCGUUCGGAAACUCACACCCAAAGCGCGAGGCCUCCUACGAGAGUGACACACGCCCUCUGCGGCACAAAGGUACUACACACAGCCAGUCGACGGGCGCCUCAGUCCCUCUGUGCUUCCACAAGCACAUAACAGGGACACACUGAAGUUACUAGAGACUAGCGAAGACUCUGUGUUUACAAUUUCGUCCAGGGGUCGUGUUAGAAAACUCACGGCUAAAGCGCGCGGACUAUUAUGUGAAUGACACACGUUCAAAGGUACUACGCACUGCCAGCCGACGGGCGCCUCAGUCCCUCUGUGCUUCCACAAGCACAUAACAGGGACACACUGAAGUUGCAGACUAGCGAAGAUUCUGUGUUUACGAUUUCGUCCAGGGGUCGCGUGAGAAAACUCACGCCCAAAGCUCGCGGACUAUUAUGUGAGUGACACGAAAGGUACUACGCACUGCCAGCCGACGGCUGCCUCAGUCCCUCUGUGCUUCCUGAAGCACAUAACAGGGACACACUGAAGUUGCAGACUAGCGAAGACUGUGUUUACAAUUUCGUCCAGGGGUCGCGUGAGAAAACUUACUGCUAAAGCGCGCGGACUAUUAUGUGAGUGACACGAAAGGUACUACACACUGCCAGCCGACGGGCGCCUCAGUCCCUCUGUGCUUCCACAAGCACAUAACAGGGACUCACUGAAAUUACUAGAGACUAGCGAAGACACUGUGUUUACGAUUUCGUCCAGGGGUCGCGUUACAAAACUCACGCCCAAAGCGCGCGGACUAUUAUGUGAGUGACACACGUCGAAAGGUACUACGCACUGCCAGCCGACGGGCGCCUCAGUCCCUCUGUGCUUCCUGAAGCACAUAACAUGACCCACUGAAGUUUGCUACAGACUAGGGAAAACUUUUACGAUUUCGUCCAGGGAUCGCGCUAGAAAACUCACGGCGAAAGCACGCGGAUUGUUGUGUGAGUGAAACAAAUUGUUUUGAUCACAUUAGACCUUAAACCUUAUUACAGCGGAUUAAAAUACUUAGUGUAUGCAUUUUUACGCUCGUGUGUGCAACACGGGCUUCACACUGCCAACAAAUGAACGUAUGAAUGUUUAGUGCUCGUGCACUCAACGGAAAACAAUAAUCACAGAUAUUCGAUCUGGUUUAAGGUUAAUUGAUACACGUUUCUAAAAAGAAACGGGUUAUAACUAAUGACUAUUUGUCAGAUAAGUGCCCAAUAGAUACUUUAUCAGAAGGUGGUAAACGAUCAAAUUACUAAAGAAUUGGCAGAUUCUGUAUCUUUCUUGACCUUUUACGAUUUGCUUAAACUUACGCACGACGGAGUCUCAAUUGGUAAGUCAACAGUUAAACCAAUAAAUUCCAAGACAUGACUUUAUAAAAAACAUUUUAUUAGCCUUCAAAUCGAUCAAACAGCAAAAAGUGACUUUUGACAGCUCAUAAAAAGUACCUAUGUCGAUUGGAGGUAUCGUCUACUUGCUAAACAACACAUUAACUACCGCGAAAUGCAGAAGCUUUUUCAUGGUUACAAACAUCUAACACCACAGCUGGGCACCGUAAAUUUUGUGCCAUGGAUUUUAAUCGAAAACCCAAAGUGGUUUUUAAUCGAAAACCCAAAGUGGUUUUAAUUAUGACACUUGAACUUAAAUGUUCUAAUCAUAUUCUACAGACCACUGCAACAGCAAGUAUAUCUCUCGAAAAAGAUCAAAUUCUUAUCACUACUGACACUGUAAUAUUGCGUGAUUGUAUAUUAAUGUGUAAUUUGUUAAAUAAAUACGAGUCUUUGUAAUCAGUCGUUGUGUUCGCGCGCGGUGUUCAACUCGAAUUUAAUGUAAUAUAACUUGAUAAUCUUUGUACAUAAUUAAUUUAUAACACUAUCUUCCAUCGACUUCAAUCUAUACCGAGUUUAAAGCAAAUAAUCCUGUUUUUAUGAAGGUGGGGUAGUGUUUCUUUUUUACAAAUUAUAAUUUCACUUUGUAAUUGAUUUCCCAUCACAUAAGCGUACACUUAUAAGUGUGUAUAAUAGACGAAAAUAUUUUCUAUUUAGACUACAAUGCAAUUUAUUUUUGACACAAAUUAAUGAAGAUUUAGACGUAAGCCGCUCAAUUAUUGAUCAGCAAAUCAAUAAGUUUUUUAAAUAAAAUUAAAAUCGAUGUAAUCAUUUAAGUUUGAUUUUAUGCCUUAUGAGAAACAGUUAUACUUUAGUAACGUAAUAUUUUUCCCUAAUGGAUUUGUAACUUUAUGUUCUAAGUUUAAGGUUAAAAAUUAAUGUAGAUAAUUUGACAUGUGGAGGUUAUCUGAUGACUUUACAUUAUGUAUUUGUGUAUUGAAAUAAAAACAAUGUGGAGUCAAACCAAGAACAACAGCUGUUGAUUUGUUUCUUUUAUGGAAUACGUUGUAAAUCAAUAAUUUGUUCAAGAAGCAUCCGAAAAGUAUUUACCUUAAAAACAAUUUUAAGUUCAAAUACUUCUUAUUUUUAUAAAUAUUUACUAACUUAACUUUACUUAGACAGUUACCUACGUCAUGUGUGUUCGCGUUUUUUUCUCUUUCACUCACUCUAUAAAGAGUGAGAUGGCAUGAUAGCCACGCCCACAUGAAAACAUGUGCCUCUCGCGACUUCUUUUAUUUCUCUUAAUCAAAAUGUAGGUUGUUUCUUAAUUUAAUUAGUGUAAUAAUUAAUUAUUAUUUCAAUUAUGUCGCUAGAUUACCCAUAUCGCGUACAAAAUAGCACAAAAAUGUUAAGAUUAUGUAAAUUGCAACGAGACUUACAGUUGUGCUUUAAAUAAUAGUAAUAAUUAUUUAAAUAAUUUGACAUUAUUAUUUCUCAUCUUAAUGAUUAGCUAAAUGUAUGAUCGUUAGUUAUUAUUUUUAUUAAGUAACCGUAGCGAAUAAAGGUGUGUUCACAUUGCUACGUAGUUGUCACAUUUAGCGAAACGAAUUUUAAUCUGUCGCGAAUGUCACUUUGUCUAGCUACUGUUACAUGCGUGGUAGUGUGAAUGUACCUUAAUCGAAUCGACUUAGCGCGACGUUGCGUCGUUUCGUUGUCUCGAUCUCUUGUCGUCCGAUAGUAAAGGAGGUACGGAAUGAAAAUCGAUUCAGAAAACGUCAAAUAUGAACAUGGAAUAGCUACAAUAUCUGGGGGCACUGCGAGCAAAAAAGCGGCACGGCCGUACCAUCCUUUUCUCGAUUUAUAUUUCAUCUAUGUUGCUAGAUUAAUAAAUUCAAGGUUAAAAAGUACAGCACAUUCUGUCAUUACUGCAUGGAAAUGUAGGUACAGAUCGUUUCAUCCACGAAAACGCGCCCCACCAUUCUGCCGCUAAUGUUUGAGUGUUAUCGGUACACGCUAAAUCAUCCAUGAGUGCACACGCACACUUCAAUAAUGCCUUACGGAUUGCUCAGAUUAAACUCCCCGCACCCCGCGCGACCGAGACCAAUAAUUGGUGGGGCGUGUCUUCGUGGAUGAAACUUUCUAUAAUUUAAAGUUUGAUGUGGACACGCUAGUAAAUUAACUUGUAUAGAUGUCUUAAACUGAACCGUUGCAGCUAUGACAUUGUCAGGGGGCGCUACUAUCAAUACUGGGUUGUCAGUUUUUGAUUUUUGACACUUGACAUUUCAAAAUUAUAUACAUGCUUUUGUUUGACUUUUUCUGAGUCGAUCGACUCGCUUGGCCAUGCGUAAGCAAUAUUAUGAUAAUCACAAAAUUGUAUCGUCUAAAUGUACCUAUUUAUUUUAUAGUUACUCAAUAGAUAAUUAUAAGUUUCCUAAGUAUUGUAAAAUUAUGUAUCUAUAGUCGAGUAAGUUGUAUUUUGUGUACUGGCAACACUAUGUGAUCAAUUGAAGUCAAAAUGAAAAUAUUGCAAUCAUUUGGUUAAGAAAACGGCAGAACUAGUGUUGUUCUUUUCAUUUUUAUGUACGAUAGAACAGGACAACACUUAUUUUAGCUGUCAAGUUUAGAAUUUAGCACUGGUUUUUGUGAGAAAAUUCACCAGUGUGAACUUUGUGAUUUGUAGGUAUGUAAAAAAACUUUGAAAAAUAUUUGUUUUGUGCGUUGAAUCGCAUCGUGUUUAUUAAAAUUUAGAAAUAAGCCAAUAUACGACGACGGGGAUGUUGUAGUCAAUAUAUUUUGAGCCUUGUCUACUAGUCUUAAGGUCUUAAAGCAAUGAAAUUACCACCAGCUAUGCCUUAUGGGAGGGGUAAGGCAGUUAUGGGCCUGUAUUAUGAAACCUUUCUCGACAAUUCAAACUCAAAAAUGGAUUGGCUAAAUAUUCGCUCACACUACAAUCAGCCUUGAAUCUUUUUUUUGUGUAGAUUCAUACUUCAGUUAAGUUUCAUAACACAGGCUUUAGACGAAACUUAACAUUGUAUUUAGGCUUAAUCAGGCAUUAAUUGCUAAUGAAAAAAAAAGACCAAAACUUUUUAGUUCAUGAUUGUUAGUUUUUUGUUUUUCUCUUGUGGCAACCCACUGAAUUUAUACCAAAUUAGUAUUUUGUACUCUAUUCCUAUUACGUGUUAAGGUGAACGCAUACCUACCCGCAGAAUCUGAAGUCUACACUUAAAUAAAAUUCAAUGAAAUUUUACUGAAAAAGAUUUUCGCGUCGAUAGAUAUGCUUUCACCUUUAUGUAGGUAGGUAGUUUUGCAAAUAUACUGACAAUGUUAAAUUCCGUCUGUGUUGAGUUGGCAGAACUCUGCGAUGUUCAUUAUAGCGUAGUUAACAUAAAGUUGAUAUUCCUUCGAAAUAGAGCAACAACCACGAGCUGUCAAACGACACCGAUUUUAGGAUGUCAUUUGUGUGUCAGUUUUCAGGAUUAUUUCUCUGUUUUGUGCAAUAAUCAAUCAAAGAACCAGUCACCACGUUUCUGAAGCACAUUUCUCAUAAAUAUUCACGACUUCACUCGCGUAAAAUCUGAAAAAAUCUCAUCUUCAACGUGCCAAUAAGUGCUAACGAACUGUCAAAUAGUUACAAAAAACGGUUCUGUUUGACGUGCGGUGACGGCAUCACGCAUCUCUUUUUAUCACACAGUGUUACUGCUAGUGACAUCUCGCUCGCUUAGUGCUGUUGCUCUAUUCCGCUAGGUAUAUAAACUUUAUGGUAGGUAAGAACAAACCAAUUUUGAUAUCUGUGACAUGUAAGUUAAGUUAGCAGCGCCCUGUACAUAUACCGGCGCGCGUCGUUGAGGUGAUACCAAACGAUAAUAAAAUUACUAUUUUGUA